AUAAUGGGUCAGCGACUUAUAUUCUGUAGCAAGGUUAACCGAAUAGGGGAGCCGAAGGGAAACCGAGUCUUAACUGGGCGUUAAGUUGCAGGGUAUAGACCCGAAACCCGGUGAUCUAGCCAUGGGCAGGUUGAAGGUUGGGUAACACUAACUGGAGGACCGAACCGACUAAUGUUGAAAAAUUAGCGGAUGACUUGUGGCUGGGGGUGAAAGGCCAAUCAAACCGGGAGAUAGCUGGUUCUCCCCGAAAGCUAUUUAGGUAGCGCCUCGUGAAUUCAUCUCCGGGGGUAGAGCACUGUUUCGGCAAGGGGGUCAUCCCGACUUACCAACCCGAUGCAAACUGCGAAUACCGGAGAAUGUUAUCACGGGAGACACACGGCGGGUGCUAACGUCCGUCGUGAAGAGGGAAACAACCCAGACCGCCAGCUAAGGUCCCAAAGUCAUGGUUAAGUGGGAAACGAUGUGGGAAGGCCCAGACAGCCAGGAUGUUGGCUUAGAAGCAGCCAUCAUUUAAAGAAAGCGUAAUAGCUCACUGGUCGAGUCGGCCUGCGCGGAAGAUGUAACGGGGCUAAACCAUGCACCGAAGCUGCGGCAGCGACGCUUAUGCGUUGUUGGGUAGGGGAGCGUUCUGUAAGC
rnacentral:rRNA from 1 species